ACCGGCGGCUCGAGUGGUGGCCGCUAUUACUGGGCUUAAAGCGUUCGUAGCUGGCUUGUUAAGUCUCUGGGGAAAUCUUCCGGCUCAACCGGAAGGCGUCUCAGGGAUACUGGCAGGCUAGGGACCGGAAGAGGUGAGAGGUACUCCAGGGAGAGGGGUGACAGGCUAUGAUCCUAGGGGGAACACCGGUGGCGAAGGCGGCACACCGGGAAGGAUCCGACAGUGAUGAGAGAAAGUUUGGGGAGCAAGGAG
rnacentral:rRNA from 1 species